rnacentral:rRNA from 1 species
UACGAAGGGGACUAGCGUUGUUCGGAAUCACUGGGCGUAAAGCGCACGUAGGCGGAUUCGUAAGUCAGGGGUGAAAUCCCGGGGCUCAACCUCGGAACUGCCUUUGAUACUGCGGGUCUCGAGUCCGAUAGAGGUGGGUGGAAUUCCUAGUGUAGAGGUGAAAUUCGUAGAUAUUAGGAAGAACACCGGUGGCGAAGGCGGCCCACUGGAUCGGCACUGACGCUGAGGUGCGAAAGCGUGGGGAGCAAACAGG